GCAACAGCUCAAAUUUGAAAUCUGGCCCUCUUUGGGGGUCCGAGUUGUAAUUUGCAGAGGGUGCUUUGGCAUUGGCGGCGGUCUAAGUUCCUUGGAACAGGACAUCGCAGAGGGUGAGAAUCCCGUACGUGGGCGCCUGCCUUUGCCGUGUAAAGCCCCUUCGACGAGUCGAGUUGUUUGGGAAUGCAGCUCUAAAUGGGAGGUAAAUUUCUUCUAAAGCUAAAUACCGGCCAGAGACCGAUAGCGCACAAGUAGAGUGAUCGAAAGAUGAAAAGUACUUUGGAAAGAGAGUCAAAUAGCACGUGAAAUUGUUGAAAGGGAAGCGCUUGCAGCCAGACUUGCCCGCAGUUGCUCACCCAGGCUCCGGCCUGGGGCACUCUUCUGCGAGCAGGCCAGCAUCAGUUUGGGCGGUUGGAUAAAGGCCUCUGUCACGUAUCUCCCUUCGGGGUGACCUUAUAGGGGAGGCGCAAUGCAACCAGCCCGGACUGAGGUCCGCGCAUCUGCUAGGAUGCUGGCGUAAUGGCUGUAAGCGGCCCGUCUUGAAACACGGACCAAGGAGUCUAACAUCUAUGCGAGUGUUUGGGUGUCAAGCCCGGGCGCGUAAUGAAAGUGAACGGAGGUGGGAACCCUUCGGGGUGCACCAUCGACCGAUCCUGAUGUCUUCGGAUGGAUUUGAGUAAGAGCAUAGCUGUUGGGACCCGAAAGAUGGUGAACUAUGCUUGAAUAGGGUGAAGCCAGAGGAAACUCUGGUGGAGGCUCGCACCGGUUCUGACGUGCAA
rnacentral:rRNA from 1 species